rnacentral:lncRNA from 1 species
CUGUGUGCCCUAAGUCUUUGUUUUGUGUUUAUGAGGAUCAGUAGGUACUUGUAUUAAUAUAUGUGGUGCAUGUGGUGCAGCCUGCAGGGAUAUUUGGAUGAGAGACUUGAAUGAUCCAUGUCUGUUAACAUUGCCGAAAGUAGCUUCCCCUGCCAUCUCGAGGUACCAAAAUAACCCAACGCAACCAUUCAUCAUGCUGUACAUCAGUGGAGCUAGGUAUUCAAAAAUAACAUUUCAUGGGAGCCAACUCAGGUCGCUCCAGUCUACGUUUGAUUAAUCAGUUUGUCUGCCAUCAUUAAUAGAUUACCAAACUUAAAACACAAAUGAAUUUCACAUAAUUCCAAUAGGGUAAUCCUACAACACAAGUAUAAAAACUAAUUAAGACAAUGCAAUAAAUGAACUUUCUCUUGGUGAACGUUUGGCUAGAUCGUAGCAGCAUUCCGUAAGGAAGAGUGAGACGCGUAGUGGUAGAUGGUAGUAUUAAUUAUUGUUCUGACUUGAUCUUGUUGAUAUCGAAGAUAGAUAGAUAGAUAGAUAGAUAGAUAGAUAGGGGCUGGGCGGGCAAACCCAUAUCGAAUUGGCAGCGACGCGACAGUGCCUGUACUGUACUUAAGCUAUUAAUUAAUAAUAAAUACUUUAACACAAGCUGUUGGGCUCAGUUAUAGUGGGCUUUCUAUCCUCAUCUCCUAGCUAACUAACUGGUCAUGUCUCUUUGGUUAUUUCUACCCAUUUCUAUUUAUUGCGAGUUAUCUAAUAUUAUAUAUAAAAACAAACAUUUAGUUACAAAUUGUAAGGAGGACAUUAUUAAUGAAGUGGAAAAUAUCUGAAGUGAAGUUAAAUAAAUAAUAUAGUAGGGAGAUGGAAUUUAUUAAGGGGGUAUGGGGGGAGAUUUAGUGUAAAUGUAGAGUAGGUGGGUGGGGGUCUGGGGGUGAGGAAGGAUGCAUGCAUGACAGGUGUGGUUAGUAGAGUACGUAGCAGUUAAGGAGACGGGAAGAGUGGGUCCGUCGUGGAAGCCAUAGCGGGCUGCGUGCUACUCCAUGCUGUGCUCUCAGACUGAUCGACCGAGAAUCCUUACUCUCUGCCCACCAUCGUUUCUUUUCUCCACAUAUGCAUUUCCACUACGCCAUCUUCAUGGGAUUGCAUUGAUUACCAAGUGAAGAUAGAGAUAUGUAUUAUGAUACAUUAAUUAAUUCUUCCUUGUAGAAUCCGUUUCACUCGACAACAAUCGCUGGGGACUAGGAAGUAGGGCCUUGAAUUGGUUUUGUUUUGGUUCGUGUUUGAUGGGUAACUAGAUGAUGAGCCAUCCACUGGGCCAGGACGGGAUGACAGAUUUCGGAAAAGCCUCAUUGAUCCGUUCAAACACACAUCAAACUUCAACUUGGGCUUAACAUCCAUUUUGGUUGUAAUUUGGGCUUAACAUCCAACUUGGGCUUAACAUCCAACUUGUGUCUAUAGCAGACGGCUUUUUGUAAUCAAACGUGUAAAGGAAGAGUAAUAAGAGAGUGAUAUAAGGGGCAUAAGUGUCUGAG